AGGCAAAGGGCCGGCAAUUCCAGGAGACCCGCCGGGGAGCCCUGGAUGUCGUUGAUGUAAAGCAAGUGGAGGCAACCCAAAGUUGAGUCCAGGAUGCUAUUGAUGCAAGUUUAUUACAAAAAUAAGGCUACCGAAUGGUUAUUGUUGUGGUAUCCUUUGUUCGAACAGAGGUUAUCGUGCCACCACAACCGUUUCUCCACUACAUUAGAACCACAUGAACCCUAUCAGUGUGGUCAAAUCGUCAUUUAUAUGUUGUACCCAUACCUAUUAUCGUAUCAAUUCGUGUCAGCAUCAAUAUAUCGUAACUUUUACUUGACAAGUCAAAUAAUUACUGGUUAAGCUUAUUACUUCA